UAGAAGUCAGGUCGGAUUAAGCCAUAGUACGGAAAAAACUAUGCUACCUGUGAGCCCCGUCCAAGGACGUUAAAAGAAGUCAGGCCACUACAAGUGCCAUAACUUGAGCAAACUAUGCAGCCUGUAGCUCCACCUAGGAAGGUGUAAAAAAUCUGGGAGGCCACAAACCAUGGAAGCUGUACGCAUGGCGUAGUGGACUAGCGGUUAGAGGAGACCCCUCCCUUGCAAGUCGCAGCAACAAUGGGGGCCCAAGGUGAGAUGAAGCUGUAAUCUCACUGGAAGGACUAGAGGUUAGAGGAGACCCCCCCGAAAUAAAAAACAGCAUAUUGACGC
rnacentral:lncRNA from 1 species